GCUUUUGCAACUCUGUGAAGCUGAAAGUGUAUCAUACCUGGAUGAGGUGGAGCAACUCAGGAUAUGGCACACUCUGUUGGACUUGAGCUUUUGCAACUGUGUGAAGCUGAAAGUGUAUCAUACCUGGAUGAGUUGGCCAGCAACACAACAACUCAAGAUAUGGCAAAGUCUGUUAGCUCGAGGUUCUUGCAUUGCUGAAAAAAGCUUGGUAUAGAUUCAAGACAGAUAAAUACUCCCUCCAAGGCAAGUUACCGGAAGGGGCAACUGGAGCUUAAUACAAAGCUCUUGGCAGAUGUCGUCUCAGAUGCUUCAAAUUAUCUGUCAUUCAUCAUGAAGUGUGUUUAUAGUGUUUGUAUUUUCUGUAUGUAUUUUGUGUAGUGU